rnacentral:rRNA from 1 species
CCCUUAGAUGUUCUGGGCCGCACGCGCGCUACACUGACGGAUUCAACGAGCUUACAACCUUGGCCGAAAGGUCUGGGUAAUCUCCAAAAUCCGUCGUGAUGGGGAUAGAUUAUUGCAAUUAUUAAUCUUCAACGAGGAAUGCCUAGUAAGCGCAAGUCAUCAGCUUGCGUUGAUUACGUCCCUGCCCUUUGUACACACCGCCCGGCGCUCCUACCGAUUGAAUGGUCCGGUGAAGCGUUUGGACUAUGGUUUUCUGAUGGUCCGCCGUUGGAUUACCGUGGGAAGUUCGUUAAACCUUAUCAUUUAGAGGAAGGAGAAGUCGUAACA